GACAGAGGGUGCAAACGUUGUUCGGAAUUACUGGGCGUAAAGCGUGUGUAGGCGGUCCACUAAGUCGGGUGUGAAAGCCCUGGGCUCAACCCAGGAAGUGCACUCGAAACUGGCGGGCUAGAGUAUCGGAGAGGUUGGUGGAAUUCUCGGUGGAGAGGUGAAAUUCGUAGAUAUCGAGAGGAACACCGGUGGCGAAGGCGGCCAACUGGACGAAUACUGACGCUGAGACACGAAAGCGUGGGGAGCAAACAGG
rnacentral:rRNA from 1 species